AGUUAGCUUACCUAUUUAGAGGCUGUCAUGAUGAAAAAUGACCAUUGCGAUAUUUCAACUUGGGUAAGCAGUGCUUUUAUGCCUCUAUGACCUGAACGCCACUGUGCGUGCGUUAUAUUACAUGCGCAUCGAGGGUUCCGUACCUACUACAGAAAAAGUUAAACGGUAAGAAUCGCUUUUAUUAACGAAACCCAACACUAAUUUUGUUUGUAGAGAUUUAUU